CUUAUUGAUGCAGGUCAGCUGUUACCCCUCCUUUAAGUCCGGUCUCGGGCGAUCUUGAUCCAAGUCAAUUUCUUCUUCCGCCUGUUUGGUUAACUUAGCCCUAUCGCAACAGGGCAAGUCCAAGAGGCCAGUCAUGUUUUUCGACAACGUGGUGAUCGCCGGGGUGCUGACUGUCAGCCUCAUGGUUGUGUUUUUCGCAGGUUUUGGAUUUUUUAUCUGGAAGGAUUCGCAUAAGCGCAAACCGUAGUUCCUUCUGGAUGUAAUGAGCACGCAAGGCAUUUUGGGCAACUUCGGUUGCCCUUU
rnacentral:sRNA from 1 species